rnacentral:lncRNA from 1 species
UCCAAGGACAAAGACAGGAAGCUUGCUCCUGGCUGUCCCACCCAUCUUGACUGAGCUGCCUGGAAGCUUCUCUGGAGUGAGUUUCUUCUAAGAUACCUGCAACUUGCUCCAUUUGCUUGAGCAUCCUAGAACUUCUUAAUCUGCUGUGUUCUGAUACUGGGCUUAUUCAUGUGUGAAAGGUGCUGUUAGGACACCUUUCUUUGCUGAAGAAAGCUGAAGUGAGUGUUCAUGGAAAUACUGCCGAUAAAAGGGUGUAUUAAAAAAUGAAAAUUGACAAGAGGACGUUAAGUACAAAAAAGAAGAUACUUGGAUUUGAUGGCUGAGCAUGAAUGGCUGCGUACAGGUAAUUGAGAUGCACU